GCUGUACCGUAACAAACAAUAGCACAUUCCCGGUCUCGUUGCCCUCGGUUCUAAUGACCAGCAUAUUAUUGUCGAGAUAACAUAGCAGUCAAUUUUUCACAUGCUCUGUCUCUGUUUCAUGAACAUCUGGUGCAAUUCCAACCAUCAGGUACGAGAAGGAUUGAUACAGGACAUACGUGUUCAGUACUGAAACAUUGCAGUAGAAAACAUUUCUGAUCGUUCUGUUCUUUUUGAUUUUUGAUUUCUGAUUCAGUUUUUCUAAUACAUUUUGGUGUACAGUAUUUUUGAUACAUUUCUGAUACAUCAUUUCUGAUAAUUUCUGAUUUAGUAUAUUAGAUAUUUUUAAUGCAUUUUUGAUGUAUUUCUGAUAUAUUUUUGAUAAUUCUCAUAUAUGUUACAAUAUUUAUGGCUUGUAUUUCUGAUAAAAAAAAAUUUGGCAUGUAAUUUUACUAUAGUAAUUUUGUUAUACUAACUAUAAUUAUAAUACAUCAAAAAUAUACUAUUGAUUCA
rnacentral:lncRNA from 1 species